GGCGGCUUGUCGCUCGUUAACGUCUAAUGGUUGCGAGAGGAAAGUCCGGGCAACGCAGAGCAUCACAUUUCUUAACGGGAAGCUACGGGUGACCGUAGGGUUAAGGUGACAGAGAAUAACCGCCGCGUGAGCGGUAAGGGUGAAAAGGUGGGGUAAGAGCCCACCGGGCGCCGUGGCGACACGGUGUGCCGCACCACCUGUGAGUUGCAAGUUCAUGUAUACCGGCAUUCAAGGGCUGCUCGUCCAUUGCCGGGGGGUAGAACGCUAUACCGGCGCAGCAAUGCGUCGGACAGAUAAAUGACAGGCACCUGCCACUUGUGGCAGGCACAAAACCCGGCUUAUAGCCAUACUG
rnacentral:RNase_P_RNA from 1 species